GCGGCGAGCGGCAGCGAGGAGCGUGCGGCGGCGAGCGGCAGCGAGGAGCGAGCGGCGGCGAUAGGCGAGAGGUGACGACGAGUGACGGCGAGCGACGAGCGGCGACAAACAGCGAGCUCGAUCCUCUCUGAAUUCGACUCGUUUGAAAGUCAAGAAAUUUUUAGUUCUCAAAAGACCCAAUUAGAACUUUAUUUGGAUGAACCAAGACUUGACCGUGGUGCACAACUCGACAUUCUUUCAUUUUGGAAGACUAAUGAGCAUAGAUACCCCGAGCUCUCUCUAUUGGCAAGGGACAUAAUGACGGUUCCUAUUUCUACGGUUGCUUCAGAGAGUACUUUCAGUGUAGGUGGGAGAAUCCUUAACCAAUACCGUAGCACUCUUAAGCCUAACAAUGUGGAGGCUUUAGUUUGCACGCGUGAUUGGUUAUAUGGUAUCAAAGAUGACAUGCAACCAAAAUUAGAUGAACUUUCUGAGGAUAUCAUGCAAUUAGAUAUUGGAGAAUCUAUGCCAACACAAGUAUGAAUCUCUCAUACUAUGAUGCGGCCACAUUUGAUUGCCUCAUGAAGACUUAUGGGUUCCUUACACCAGACUGCAAAGAGUACAUGAAUCUACUGCAAAGAGUUAAAGAAGAGAGGGAACUAAAAUAUAUGAGGAAAAGAAGGAUAACUACAUGCUACAUUAUUGUAUAAUGUCUACAUAUGUUUUCCUUUACUGCUCUUCAUUGCUUAUUGCGGUAGGAAACCCCCUCGACCAAUAUUUCCAGGUCCUUGUGAAGACAUUUUUCCUUGCGACAUGAUUUGGGAGCGUCCAGGGCCUUGAACAAAUGACUGCUGCUGCUGCUGCAAGUGUUGCUGUUGUAGCUACUACUGGAGAUGUUGAUGCUGCUGUGACUGCUGAAGUUGUUGUUGCUGUUGAAGUUAGUGCUGCUGAAGCUGCUGCUGCUGCUGGAGUUGUUGUUGCUAUUGCGGUUGAAGUUUAGAUUAGUCUGUGUCUAAAGAGUUGCAUCGAUGUAUUUUUGUUUGCCGAUAUUUACAAUUCGUUGAAGUACAUUUAAAUACUGAAUAUGUCUUUGAAAUAACUCCAUGUUGUGAGUAGUGAU